UACGUAGGGGGCGAGCGUUGUCCGGAUUUAUUGGGCGUAAAGAGCUCGUAGGCGGUUUGGCAAGUCGGGUGUGAAAACUCCGGGCUCAACUCGGAGACGCCACUCGAUACUGCCAUGACUCGAGUCCGGUAGGGGAGUGCGGAAUUCCUGGUGUAGCGGUGAAAUGCGCAGAUAUCAGGAGGAACACCGGUGGCGAAGGCGGCGCUCUGGGCCGGUACUGACGCUGAGGAGCGAAAGCGUGGGGAGCAAACAGG
rnacentral:rRNA from 1 species